rnacentral:rRNA from 1 species
GACGAACGCUGGCGGCGUGCCUAAUACAUGUAAGUCGAACGCAGUGGGGACGGGUGAGUAACACGUGGGUAACCUCCCAUCAGAGGGGAUAACACUUGGAAACAGGUGCAAAACCGAUACUGAUGGAUGAACCAGCGGUGCAUUAACUAGUUGGUGAGGUAACGGCUCACCAAGGCCACGAUGCAUAGCCGACCUGGGAGGGUGAUCGGCCGCAAUGGGACUGAGACACGGCCCAGACUCCUACGGGAGGCAGCAGUAGGGAAUCUUCGGCAAUGGACGAAAUGAUAACCGAUCAACGCCGCGUGAGUGAAGAAGGUUUUCGGAUCGUAAAACUCUGUUGUUAUAGAAGCGGUAUCUAACCAGAAAGCCACUGCUAACUACGUUCCAGCCGCCGCGGUAAUAC